UCCGGUUUGUCACCGGCAGUCCCAUUAGAGUGCCCAACUAAAUGAUGGCAACUAAGGGCGAGGGUUGCGCUCGUUGCGGGACUUAACCCAACAUCUCACGACACGAGCUGACGACAGCCAUGCAGCACCUGCGCAUAAGUCCCUUGCGGGAGGUUCUGGCUUUCACCAAAAUUUCCUAUGCAUGUCAAACCCAGGUAAGGUUCUUCGCGUUGCAUCGAAUUGAGCCACAUACUCCACCGCUUGUGCAGGCCCCCGUCAAUUUCUUUGAGUUUUAAUCUUGCGACCGUACUCCCCAGGCGGCACAUUUAGCGCGUUAGCUUCGCCACAAAAGGGGUCGAUUCCUCUUACAGCAAAUGUGCACCGUUUACGGCUAGGACUAC
rnacentral:misc_RNA from 1 species